GACGAACGCUGGCGGCGUGCCUAACACAUGCAAGUAGAACGGAGAAGCUCAGCAAUGGAUUUCUUAGUGGCGAACGGGUGAGUAACGCGUAGACAACCUGCCUCCAAGAUGGGGACAACACCGCGAAAGUGGUGCUAAUACCGAAUGUUCUUUUUGCGGCGCAUGCCGGAAAAAGCAAAGGUGGCCUCUAUAUAAAAGCUACCGCUUGGAGAUGGGUCUGCGUCUGAUUAGCUAGUUGGUGAAGUAACGGCUCACCAAGGCGACGACCAGUAGCCGGUCUAAGAGGAUGAACGGGCAGACUGGGAAUGAGGCACGGGCCAGAGUCCGACGGGAGGCAGAAGUGGGGAAUUUUGGACAAGGGGCGCAAGCCUGAUCCGGCAAUGGCGCGUGAGUGGAGAAGGGCUUCGGGUUGUAAAGCUCUUUUGUCAGAGAAGAAACGGCUGGGGUUAAUACCUCCGGCUAAUGACGGUACCUGAAGAAUAAGCACCGGCUAACUACGUGCCAGCCGCCGCAGUAACAC
rnacentral:rRNA from 1 species